rnacentral:rRNA from 1 species
CCUACGGGAGGCAGCAGUGGGGAAUUUUGCGCAAUGGGGGGAACCCUGACGCAGCAACGCCGCGUGCGGGAUGAAGGCCUUCGGGUUGUAAACCGCUUUCAGCAGGGAAGAUAGUGACGGUACCUGCAGAAGAAGCCCCGGCUAACUACGUGCCAGCAGCCGCGGUAAUACGUAGGGGGCGAGCGUUAUCCGGAUUCAUUGGGCGUAAAGCGCGCGUAGGCGGCCCGGCAGGCCGGGGGUCGAAGCGGGGGGCUCAACCCCCCGAAGCCCCCGGAACCUCCGCGGCUUGGGUCCGGUAGGGGAGGGUGGAACACCCGGUGUAGCGGUGGAAUGCGCAGAUAUCGGGUGGAACACCGGUGGCGAAGGCAUUGUGCCGGGGCAGCACUGACGCUGAGGCUCGAAAGUGCGGGUAUCAAACAGGAUU